rnacentral:lncRNA from 1 species
UGGCAAAUUGGUCUUUCUACAACACCUGUCUGUCUGGAUAGAACACAGAAACAUAUUUGCUGCACCGGUCAAGCCUCACAGGAUUAAACACCAGUGUUCCUGAACACAGGGCUCGCCAGCUGCAGGAGAACUGAAUGCGCUGAUCGGGGGGUCUGAGAUGCUCAUGCUGAAGGCCUUGGAUGCUGGAGACUUGCUGAGACUCCUUUAGACUGUAAGCUCGUUGUGAAAAGGGAAUGUGUCCAUUAUAUUGUACUCUCCCAAGUGCUUAGUAAAGUGUCUGCACACAGUAAAUGCUCAAUAAAUUCAAUUGAUUGACUGAGUGUCUCUCUUCUCCAGGCCCCAAAAGGACCACACCCUCCAACCUGGAGAUCGGUUCUGCUGAGCCCACUUGACCCACUUGAUGGUCCCAAGACUCCCACGUCGCAGGGGUCUGGAGCCGGUAGAGGGUUCUUAACAGGACUUGGAGAGAGAAGAUACAACAAGGACUUGUCAGGAUGAAAAACAAAGACGUGCCUGCUGCUGAGGUGUAUCAUUAGCUCCAG